UAAUACUGGAUAGGCAAUUAUUCCUGUAAUGGUUUUUUGUUUAAAUGUUUUUUCGCCUAAAGAUGGGUCUGCGGCCGAUUAGGUAGUUGGUUAGGUAAUGGCUUACCAAGCCUUUGAUCGGUACGGGUUGUGAGAGCAAGAGCCCGGAGAUGGAACCUGAGACAAGGUUCCAGGCCCUACGGGGUGCAGCAGGCGCGAAACCUCCGCAAUGUGAGAAAUCGCGACGGGGGGAUCCCAAGUGCCAUUCUUAACGGGAUGGCUUUUCUUUAGUGUAAAAAGCUUUUGGAAUAAGAGCUGGGCAAGACCGGUGCCAGCCGCCGCGGUAACACCGGCAGCUCUAGUGGUAGCUGUUUUUAUUGGGCCUAAAGCGUUCGUAGCCGGUUUAAUAAGUCUUUGGUGAAAUCCUGUAGCUUAACUAUGGGAAUUGCUGAGGAUACUGUUAGGCUUGAGGUCGGGAGAGGUUAGCGGUACUCCCAGGGGUAGGGGUGAAAUCCUGUAAUCCUGGGAGGACCACCUGUGGCGAAGGCGGCUAACUGGAACGAACCUGACGGUGAGGGACGAAAGCUGGGGGCGCGAACCGGAUUAGAUACCCGGGUAGUCCUAGCCGUAAACGAUGCGGACUGGGUGU
rnacentral:rRNA from 1 species